rnacentral:rRNA from 1 species
GACGAACGCUGGCGGCGUGCUUAACACAUGCAAGUCGAACGGAAAGGCCCUGCUUUUGUGGGGUGCUCGAGUGGCGAACGGGUGAGUAACACGUGAGUAACCUGCCCUUGACUUUGGGAUAACUUCAGGAAACUGGGGCUAAUACCGGAUAGGAGCUCCUGCUGCAUGGUGGGGGUUGGAAAGUUUCGGCGGUUGGGGAUGGACUCGCGGCUUAUCAGCUUGUUGGUGGGGUAGUGGCUUACCAAGGCUUUGACGGGUAGCCGGCCUGAGAGGGUGACCGGCCACAUUGGGACUGAGAUACGGCCCAGACUCCUACGGGAGGCAGCAGUGGGGAAUAUUGCACAAUGGGCGGAAGCCUGAUACAGCAACGCCGCGUGCGGGAUGACGGCCUUCGGGUUGUAAACCGCUUUCGCCUGUGACGAAGCGUGAGUGACGGUAAUGGGUAAAGAAGCACCGGCUAACUACGU